GGGGCUGUGGCGCAGUUGGGAGCGCGCUUCCAUGGCAUGGAAGAGGUCAGGGGUUCGAACCCCCUCAGCUCCACCA
rnacentral:tRNA from 1 species